CGGGUGUUAGUAGAGUGGCGGACGGGUGAGUAAUGCUUGGGAAUCUGCCUAGUAGUGGGGGAUAACUCGGGGAAACUCGAGCUAAUACCGCAUACGCCCUACGGGGGAAAGAUUUAUCGCUAUUAGAUGAGCCCAAGUCAGAUUAGCUAGUUGGUAGGGUAAUGGCCUACCAAGGCGACGAUCUGUAGCUGGUCUGAGUGGACGAACAGCCACACUGGGACUGAGACACGGCCCAG
rnacentral:rRNA from 1 species